rnacentral:rRNA from 1 species
CCUAAGGAUGGGUCUGCGGCCUAUCAGGUAGUAGUGGGUGUAGCGUACCUACUAGCCUACGACGGGUACGGGUUGUGAGAGCAAGAGCCCGGAGAUGGAUUCUGAGACACGAAUCCAGGCCCUACGAGGUGCAGCAGGCGCGAAAACUUUACAAUGCUGGAAACAGCGAUAAGGGGACCUCGAGUGCCAGGUUACAAAUCUGGCUGUCGUGAUGCCUAAAAAGCAUUGCAUAGCAAGGGCCGGGCAAGACCGGUGCCAGCCGCCGCGGUAACACCGGCGGCUCGAGUGGUAACCGUUAUUAUUGGGUCUAAAGGGUCUGUAGCCGGCCGGAUAAGUCUCUUGGGAAAUCCAGCAGCUCAACUGUUGGGCUUUCAGGAGAUACUGUCUGGCUCGAGGCCGGGAGAGGUGAGAGGUACUUCAGGGGUAGGGGUGAAAUCUUGUAAUCCUUGAAGGACCACCAGUGGCGAAGGCGUCUCACCAGAACGGACCUGACGGCAAGGGACGAAAGCUAGGGGCACGAACCGGAUUAGAUACCCGGGUAGUCCUAGCCGUAAACGAUACUCGCUAGGUGUCGGCCACGGUGCGACCGUUGUCGGUGCCGUAGGGAAGCCGUGAAGCGAGCCACCUGGGAAGUACGGCCGCAAGGCUGAAACUUAAAGGAAUUGGCGGGGGA